GAUGAACGCUAGCUACAGGCUUAACACAUGCAAGUCGCGGGGCAGCAUGGGGGUUGCUUGCCAUCCCCGAUGGCGACCGGCGCACGGGUGAGUAACGCGUAUCCAACCUGCCCUUCACCACGGGAUAACCCGGCGAAAGUCGGACUAAUACCGUAUGUUGUCCAUUGACGGCAUCCGAUUUGGACGAAAGGCUUGGCGGUGAGGGAUGGGGAUGCGUCCGAUUAGCCAGACGGCGGGGUAACGGCCCACCGUGGCUACGAUCGGUAGGGGUUCUGAGAGGAAGGUCCCCCACACUGGAACUGAGACACGGUCCAGACUCCUACGGGAGGCAGCAGUGAGGAAUAUUGGUCAAUGGGCGUAAGCCUGAACCAGCCAAGUAGCGUGCAGGAUGACGGCCCUAUGGGUUGUAAACUGCUUUUAUGCGGGGAUAAAGUGGCCCACGUGUGGGCUUUUGCAGGUACCGCAUGAAUAAGGACCGGCUAAUUCCGU
rnacentral:rRNA from 1 species